rnacentral:rRNA from 1 species
AACGAACGCUGGCGGCAGGCUUAACACAUGCAAGUCGAACGCACCUUUCGGGGUGAGUGGCAGACGGGUGGGUAACGCGUGGGAAUCUACCCUUCUCUACGGGAUAGCUCCGGGAAACUGGAAUUAAUACCGUAUACGUCCUGAGGGAGAAAGAUUUAUCGGGGAAGGAUGAGCCCGCGUUGGAUUAGCUAGUUGGUGGGGUAAAGGCCUACCAAGGCGACGAUCCAUAGCUGGUCUAAGAGGAUGAUCAGCCACAGUGGGAGUGAGACACGGCCCACACUCCUGCGGGAGGCAGGAGUGGGUGAUACUGGAAAGUGGGCGCAAGCCUGAUGGCGCCCUGCCGGGUGAGUGAUGAAGGCCCGAAGGUUGUAAAGCUCUUUCAGUGGGGACGAUAAUGACGGUACCCACAGAAGAAGCCCCGGCUAACUUCGUG